CGCCCACAAAUCCGGCCUCAGACUUGGCCCUCCCAACAGCCGCUGUCCAGUAGACCACGAGCUUCUUGAGGGCAGGAUGGUUUUUCAGGGGCAGGAGAUUCAGGCAAAAAGCAAUGUUCCUAUUCUAAUGACUGAGCUGGAACCUGAGACCUUAAAAGUACCCAGUCCUGAAUUACACUGUAGGAUGGAAGUGGGACCUGAAUUCUAGAAGGUUUCUUCAUUUGACCUUCCCUCAUUCACACCACCUAUAUCUGUGGGCUAGGGGAGAGUGGGUAGUGUGAUGUAAUGGUGCAGGUGUGUGGGGGGAGAUGAGGGAGGGAAAGGGAAGACGGGGGAGGGAACAGAGACAGAAUAAGCUAAAAAAUCUAAUAAAAGGAAAGAGGAAAUAAGCAAGGUAAUGGGAUGAAAGGGAUAAUGUCCCCCUCGGUGGAGGAUGGAGAGGGGUACAAGAUCUGUUCUCUAGCUAUGGGAAAGGUUAUGAGGAAUUGUCCUUGAGUUGCCCUAUCCCAGCUACUUCCUAUUUGUUCUUCUCCUAGCUCCCAGAUCCUCUAACACUACUGCUUAAUCUCUGAUUUGGGGGCUUAAAUACUUAAUACUUAAAUAUAAAUACUUGUGUGUGUGUGUGUGUGUGUGUGUGUAUACCUUGCUCAUGGAUAUGUGUGUUUGUCAGGAUGCUCAUGUUCCAGUGUAUGCCCAGCUUAUAUACAUGUGUCAGUAUAUACUUACAGGUUAGGUUUCUCUAUGUCUAUGCAGACAUGUAUACCUGUGUGUAUCUGAGAGAAAUGCUAUCAUAUAAGCUGCCUUGCCCUGGGCACUCUUCUCUGUCAAUCUGGGCAAGGGACUUAGAUAUAGAUAGGCCCGGUGGGAGCUUUGAGAAAACUAGGUAAGAGGAGAUAGACCAGUGGUGGUAAUAAUAGUGGCAUGGCUAAACCCGUACUAGGUAAUUUGUCUAUCAUAUACAGGUCACUUGGCUGUGUGUGGAUAGGGUUAGGGGUUGAGAGAGAAGGCGUGUGGAAGAAGCUGAGGAUUGGGAAUGAUAGAGUGAAAGGGCAAUGGGAGAAUAGGAUUUGUGUGAACUUGUAUAUGUUUUUCAUCUUUUUCUCUGAUUACUGACCCUACUUGACUCUAACCCCAUGUGUGUGAUUAAAUAAAUCUGCCUAUGAGUA